ACGGCCAUACCAUGCUGAAUAUACCGGUUCUCGUCAGAUCACCGAAGUCAAGCAUCAUUGGGCGCGGUCAGUGACCACCUGGGAACACCGCGUGCCGUUG
rnacentral:rRNA from 1 species